CGUAGCGAAGGCGAGUCUUAAAAGGCGUUUGAGUCGCGUGUCCUGGACCCGAAGCGGGAUGAUCUAGCCCUGAGCAGGUUGAAGCGCGGGUAAGACCGCGUGGAGGACCGAACCCACCUGGGUUGAAAACCGGGGGGAUGACCUGGGGCUAGGGGUGAAAGGCCAAUCAAAUUCCGUGAUAGCUGGUUCUCUCCGAAAUGCAUUUAGGUGCAGCGUCGGUCGAUUGCGUCGCGGGGGUAGAGCUACCGGAUGCUUGCGGGCCCUUGUUGGGUACCAACAGCAGCCGAACUCCGAAUACCGUUGACGUGUAUUCCGGCAGUGAGUCGGCGGGGGAUAAGCUCCGUCGUCGAGAGGGAGACAGCCCAGACCGUCGUCUAAGGUCCCGAAGCGUGUGCUAAGUGGGAAAGGAUGUGGAGUCGCAUAGACAGCCAGGAGGUUGGCUCAGAAGCAGCCAUCCUUGAAAGAGUGCGUAACAGCUCACUGGUCUAGUGGUUCCGCGCCGACAAUGUAGCGGGGCUCAAGCACACCACCGAAGACGCGGCAGCAAUCUUCAUGGUUGCUGGGUAGGAGAGCGUCCUGCGAGGGGCGAAGCGGCCGGGUAACCGUGCCGUGGACUUCGUGGGAGUGAGAAUGCAGACAUGAGUAGCGAGAGACGGGUGAGGAUCCCGUCCGCUGGAUGACCAAGGGUUCCGGGGCCACGUUCGUCGUCCCCGGGUGAGUCGGGUCCUAAGGCGAGGCCGACAGGCGUAGUCGAAUGGAUGAACGGGUGGAUAUUCCCGUACCGACCAUGGACCGGCAAAACCGAGACGGUGAGUACUAACCUCCGCCUCGUGGUGGUUCCUUCCUUCGGGUUGGUUCCGCCGCGUGGUGUUGGGAGCGUAGCCGCAGUAGGUCAGCGCAGGGGUGACACGGAAUGGGAGCCGGCCGCGGAGGUGGUUUUCCGUGGUCAAGCACGCAGCCAGUCAUGUAGGCAAAUCCGCAUGGCAUGCAUGGCGAGGUGUGAUGAUGGGAGCCGGUAUGGCUCGAUAUCCGGUUGUCCAGGCCGUCGAGAAAAGCCUCGGCGUGAGGGCCAUGGCCGCCCGUACCCCAAACCGACACUGGUGGUCAGGUAGAGAAUACCAAGGCGAUCGAGCGAAUCCUGGUCAAGGAACUCGGCAAAUCACUCCCGUGCCUUCGGUAUAAGGGAGACCCACUGGGGUGAAGGACCUUGCGUCCGGAGCUUUGGUGGGUGGCACAGACCAGGGGGUAGCGACUGUUUACCAAAAACACAGGUGCAUGCGAAGGCGAAAGCCGCUGUAUAUGCACUGACGCCUGCCCGGUGCCGGAAGGUUAAGAGGAUCCGUCAAUCCCUUCGGGGACGAAGCGGUGAAUUCAAGCCCCGGUAAACGGCGGUGGUAACUAUAACCAUCCUAAGGUAGCGAAAUUCCUUGUCGGGUAAGUUCCGACCUGCACGAAUGGCGUAAUGAUGGCCAGGCUGUCUCCACCCGAGACUCAGUGAAAUUGAACUCGCUGUGAAGAUGCAGUGUACCCGCGGCAAGACGGAAAGACCCCGUGAACCUUUACUAUAGCUUGACACUGAACAUUGAGCCUUGAUGUGUAGGAUAGGUGGGAGGCUUGGAAGUGUGGACGCCAGUCUGCAUGGAGCCGACCUUGAAAUACCACCCUUUAAUGUUUGAUGUUCUAACGUUGACCCGUAAUCCGGGUUGCGGACAGUGUCUGGUGGGUAGUUUGACUGGGGCGGUCUCCUCCUAAAGAGUAACGGAGGAGCACGAAGGUUGGCUAAUCCUGGUCGGACAUCAGGAGGUUAGUGCAAUGGCAUAAGCCAGCUUGACUGCGAGCGUGACGGCGCGAGCAGGUGCGAAAGCAGGUCAUAGUGAUCCGGUGGUUCUGAAUGGAAGGGCCAUCGCUCAACGGAUAAAAGGUACUCCGGGGAUAACAGGCUGAUACCGCCCAAGAGUUCAUAUCGACGGCGGUGUUUGGCA
rnacentral:rRNA from 1 species